UACAGAGGGUGCAAACGUUGUUCGGAAUUACUGGGCGUAAAGCGCGUGUAGGCGGCCCUGCAAGUCGGAUGUGAAAUCCCACGGCUCAACCGUGGAAGUGCAUUCGAAACUGCGGGGCUGGAGUACUGGAGAGGAAGGUGGAAUGCUCGGUGUAGAGGUGAAAUUCGUAGAUAUCGAGAGGAACACCGGUGGCGAAGGCGGCCUUCUGGACAGUGACUGACGCUGAGACGCGAAAGCGUGGGGAGCAAACAGG
rnacentral:rRNA from 1 species